AGUGAACGCUGGCGGUAGGCCUAACACAUGCAAGUCGAACGGCAGCACAGUAAGAGCUUGCUCUUACGGGUGGCGAGUGGCGGACGGGUGAGGAAUACAUCGGAAUCUACUUUUUCGUGGGGGAUACCGUAGGGAAACUUACGCUAAUACCGCAUACGACCUACGGGUGAAAGCAGGGGAUCUUCGGACCUUGCGCGAUUGAAUGAGCCGAUGUCGGAUUAGCUAGUUGGCGGGGUAAAGGCCCACCAAGGCGACGAUCCGCAGCUGGUCUGAGAGGAUGAUCAGCCACACUGGAACUGAGACACGGUCCAGACUCCUACGGGAGGCAGCAGUGGGGAAUAUUGGACAAUGGGCGCAAGCCUGAUCCAGCCAUACCGCGUGGGUGAAGAAGGCCUUCGGGUUGUAAAGCCCUUUUGUUGGGAAAGAAAAGCAGCAGGUUAAUACCCCGCUGUUCUGACGGUACCCAAAGAAUAAGCACCGGCUAACUUCGUG
rnacentral:rRNA from 1 species